CCUUGUACACACCGCCCGUCACACCAUGGGAGGUUUGGCUGCACCAGAAGCCGGUAGUCUAACCGGUAAGGGGGACGCCGUCCACGGUGUGGUCAAUGACUGGGGGUG
rnacentral:rRNA from 1 species